UACGUAGGGCGCAAGCGUUGUCCGGAAUUAUUGGGCGUAAAGAGCUCGUAGGCGGUCUGUCGCGUCCGUUGUGAAAACUCGAGGCUCAACCUCGGACUUGCAGUGGGUACGGGCAGACUAGAGUGUGGUAGGGGAGACUGGAAUUCCUGGUGUAGCGGUGGAAUGCGCAGAUAUCAGGAGGAACACCGAUGGCGAAGGCAGGUCUCUGGGCAUUAACUGACGCUGAGGAGCGAAAGCAUGGGGAGCGAACAGG
rnacentral:rRNA from 1 species